rnacentral:rRNA from 1 species
UACGGGGGGGGCAAGCGUUGUUCGGAAUUACUGGGCGUAAAGGGCUCGUAGGUGGCCAACUAAGUCAGACGUGAAAUCCCUCAGCUUAACUGGGGAACUGCGUCUGAUACUGGAUGGCUUGAGUUUGGGAGAGGGAUGCGGAAUUCCAGGUGUAGCGGUGAAAUGCGUAGAUAUCUGGAGGAACACCGGUGGCGAAGGCGGCAUCCUGGACCAAUACUGACGCUGAGGAGCGAAAGCGUGGGGAGCGAACAGG